rnacentral:misc_RNA from 1 species
GAUGAAGAACGCAGCGAAAUGCGAUACUUGGUGUGAAUUGCAGAAUCCCGUGAACCAUCGAGUCUUUGAACGCAAGUUGCGCCCGAAGCCAUUAGGCUGAGGGCACGCCUGCCUGGGCGUCACACGUCGUUGCCCCCCCAUCUACUCCUUCGGGAUUGCGGGGGGCGGAUGAUGGCCUCCCGUGCGCCUCGUCGCGCGGUUGGCAUAAAUGCCAAGUCCUCGGCGACGCACGCCACGACAAUCGGUGGUUGCGAAACCUCGGUUGCCCGUCGUGUGCGGUCGUCGCGCAUCGAGGGCUCGAAAAAAUUGCCGGGCUCCGGCUCGGCUUUCAACGCGACCCCAGGUCAGGCGGGGUUACCCGCUGAAUUUAAGCAUAUCAAUAAGCGGAGGA